UAAAACCACUACUAGUUUGGUCAACAGAGGACUUGCCAACUCUGUGUCAGCUCAGAGAUUCUAUCUCUAUGCAGACUUUGUCUGCAUAUUAAUGCAUCAUGAUGUAAACAAAUACUGUGAAUCAGGAAAAUGACCAGUUCUCUCGCUUCGACCCUCUUCCUGGGAAGGCACUUCUGUGUCAGGAUGAAUGUGGGACAUUCAUGGAUGAGACCUUCUCCGCCAGCAAGUUUGAUCUUUGGGGGAGUUAGCACACCCCAACAGAGCACAUCUGUUGCUGGUUUACCCAGUUAACAUGAUUACAAAUGUG